CCUACGGGGGGCAGCAGUGGGGAAUAUUGCGCAAUGGGCGAAAGCCUGACGCAGCGACGCCGCGUGAGGGAUGAAGGUCUUCGGAUCGUAAACCUCUGUCAGCAGGGAAGAACGGUCACUGUGCUAAUCAGCAGUGAAUUGACGGUACCUGCAAAGGAAGCACCGGCUAACUCCGUGCCAGCAGUCGCGGUAAUACGGAGGAUCCGAGCGUUAUCCGGAUUUAUUGGGUUUAAAGCGCUCGUAGGCGGUAUGUCAAGUCAAGGGUGAAAUCCCCGCGCUCAACGUGGGAACUGCCUUUGAAACUGGCAAACUGGAGUGUGUGAGAGGAUAGUGGAAUUCCAGGUGUAGGAGUGAAAUCCGUAGAUAUCUGGAGGAACAUCAGUGGCGAAGGCGACUAUCUGGCACAUAACUGACGCUGAGGAGCGAAAGCGUGGGUAGCAAACAGGAUUAGAUACCCGUGUAGUC
rnacentral:rRNA from 1 species